rnacentral:rRNA from 1 species
UUGAAAUCUGGCACCUUCGGUGUCCGAGUUGUAAUUUGAAGAUUGUAACCUUGGGGUUGGCUCUUGUCUAUGUUUCUUGGAACAGGACGUCACAGAGGGUGAGAAUCCCGUGCGAUGAGAUGCCCAAUCCUAUGUAAGGUGCUUUCGAAGAGUCGAGUUGUUUGGGAAUGCAGCUCUAAGUGGGUGGUAAAUUCCAUCUAAAGCUAAAUAUUGGCGAGAGACCGAUAGCGAACAAGUACAGUGAUGGAAAGAUGAAAAGAACUUUGAAAAGAGAGUGAAAAAGUACGUGAAAUUGUUGAAAGGGAA